rnacentral:rRNA from 1 species
GACGAACGCUGGCGGCGUGCUUAACACAUGCAAGUCGAACGGAAAGGCCCUGCUUUUGUGGGGUGCUCGAGUGGCGAACGGGUGAGUAACACGUGAGUAACCUGCCCUUGACUUUGGGAUAACUUCAGGAAACUGGGGCUAAUACCGGAUAGGAGCUCCUGCUGCAUGGUGGGGGUUGGAAAGUUUCGGCGGUUGGGGAUGGACUCGCGGCUUAUCAGCUUGUUGGUGGGGGAGUGGCUUACCAAGGCUUUGACGGGUAGCCGGCCGGAGAGGGUGACCGGCCACAUUGGGACUGAGAUACGGCCCAGACUCCUACGGGAGGCAGCAGUGGGGAAUAUUGCACAAUGGGCGGAAGCCUGAUGCAGCAACGCCGCGUGCGGGAUGACGGCCUUCGGGUUGUAAACCGCUUUCGCCUGUGACGAAGCGUGAGUGACGGUAAUGGGUAAAGAAGCACCGGCUAACUACGUG